AUGAUUCUCGUGGAUUGGUUCUUCGACGCUCUGGCGUAUUUGGGGCUGUGGCAGAAGGAUGCCAAGAUCCUCUUCCUAGGCCUCGACAACGCAGGCAAGACCACCCUCCUCCAGAUGCUCAAGGACGAGAGACUGGCGCAGCACCAGCCGACGCAGCACCCGACGUCCGAGGAGCUGAGCAUCGGGAAGAUCAGGUUCAAGGCGUUCGACCUCGGCGGCCACGCGUUCGCGCGCCGUGUCUGGAAGGACUACUUCGCCAAGGUUGACGCCGUCGUGUACCUGGUGGACGCUGCCGAUCGCGAGCGUUUCAACGAGACGAAGCAGGAGCUGGACGCGCUCCUCUCGGCCGAGGCGCUCUUCAACGUGCCCUUCCUCGUGCUCGGCAACAAGAUCGACAUCGCAAGCGCAUUAUCUGAGCACGAAUUGCGCUACUAUCUCGGGCUGGAGUACCACACCACCGGCAAGGGCAACGUCGAUCUCUCCCACAACGGCAGGCGGCCCCUAGAGGUCUUCAUGUGCAGCGUGGUCCGGAAGAUGGGCUACGGCGAUGGCUUCAGAUGGAUGUCGCAGUACAUCAAAUAG
rnacentral:rRNA from 1 species